rnacentral:misc_RNA from 1 species
UUUUAGUGGCACCCAGGGCUCUGAG